GGAGAAAAGUAGGGGAUCGCAAGACCUUGCGCUUUUGGAGCGGCCGAUGUCUGAUUAGCUAGUUGGUGGGGUAAUGGCCUACCAAAGCUUCGAUCAGUAGCUGGUCUGAGAGGACGGCCAGCCACACUGGGACUGAGACACGGCCCAGACUCCUACGGGAGGCAGCAGUGGGGAAUUUUGGACAAUGGGCGCAAGCCUGAUCCAGCCAUGCCGCGUGAGUGAAGAAGGCCUUCGGGUUGUAAAGCUCUUUCAGCCGGGAAGAAAAGGCUGCGACUAAUAAUCGCAGUUCAUGACGGUACCGGAAGAAGAAGCACCGGCUAACUACGUGCCAGCAGCCGCGGUAAUACGUAGGGUGCGAGCGUUAAUCGGAAUUACUGGGCGUAAAGGGUGCGCAGGCGGUUUUGUAAGUCAGAUGUGAAAUCCCCGGGCUUAACCUGGGAACUGCGUUUGAAACUACAAAGCUAG
rnacentral:rRNA from 1 species